UGGGGAAUUUUGGACAAUGGGCGCAAGCCUGAUCCAGCAAUGCCGCGUGCAGGAUGAAGGCCUUCGGGUUGUAAACUGCUUUUGUACGGAGCGAAAAGGUCUGCCCUAAUACGGUGGGCUCAUGACGGUACCGUAAGAAUAAGCACCGGCUAACUACGUGCCAGCAGCCGCGGUAAUACGUAGGGUGCGAGCGUUAAUCGGAAUUACUGGGCGUAAAGCGUGCGCAGGCGGUUAUAUAAGACAGAGGUGAAAUCCCCGGGCUCAACCUGGGACCUGCAUUUGUGACUGUAUAGCUAGAGUACGGUAGAGGGGGAUGGAAUUCCGCGUGUAGCAGUGAAAUACGUAGAUAUGCGGAGGAACACCGAUGGCGAAGGCAAUCCCCUGGACCUGUACUGACGCUCAUGCACGAAAGCGUGGGGAGCAAACA
rnacentral:rRNA from 1 species